UCUUUGAAAGCUUUGCACGCAAAAGAAAAACAUUUGGCAUAGUUUAGACAAUAUUUACUAAUUGGGCUGAACAAAUUGAAUUUACGUUUGCACAGUUUACAAACUUAAGUAUUUCAAUAUUUAAGGCCAAAAAUAGCGACGACUAAUCAAAGCAAUCAAAAUGAAAUUCUUCAAUUUUC